UAGGCUUGACAUCCCAAGAAGAUAGUAGAGAUACUGUUGUGUCUGCUUGCAGAAACUUGGUGACAGGUGCUGCACGGCUGUCGUCAGCUCGUGUCGUGAGAUGUUGGGUUAAGUCCCGCAACGAGCGCAACCCUCGUCCUUAGUUGCCAGCAGGUUAAGCUGGGCACUCUAAGGAGACUGCCUUCGUAAGGAGGAGGAAGGUGAGGACGACGUCAAGUCAUCAUGGCCCUUAUGGCUAGGGCUACACACGUGCUACAAUGGGGCGUACAGAGUGUUGCGAUACCGCGAGGUGGAGCUAAUCACUUAAAGCGUCUCUCAGUUCGGAUAGCAGUCUGCAACUCGACUGCUUGAAGCUGGAAUCACUAGUAAUCGUAGAUCAGCAAUGCUACGGUGAAUACGUUCCCGGGUCU
rnacentral:rRNA from 1 species